UCAGAUGGAGAAGGUCCAGAGUCGCUCCAAGAGCCUGCGACAUAAAGCCACAGAGCUGGAAAGACAACUAGAGGAAUUUACACGCCAGUACCUGCAGCCACAGGAGUGAAGAUGCUCCUGCUCAUCCCUCGGCUCUUAUGGAGCUCCUCAUUCCGUACAUCAGAGCCCUGCUUACAAAUCUUUUACAGAAAACAUUACAAUAAAAAAAUCAACUAAAGAACAAAAUUUCUACAGCUAGAAUGCAGAUGUUGAUCAGAGAAACUCAACUACAAUCACUUAAUGUAAAAAGAAAUCUGAUGGUUUUAUUUCAAUGAAGUUUAAUUUAGAAGAAUCAUAACUUUAAUAUGAGUUGUUCCUCAGUUAUGAAAAUGCAGUGCUGUAUUUUCAUACUCCAGCACUCGUUUUCAAGAUGUUUCUUUAAGAUUAAUAAAUUUGAUCAAGUAUUCGUCUAAACAGAAAUCCACAUAAAAGCAUUUAUUAGAAAAACAUUUUUUUUUUUUUUUUUU